CUGAUCUAGCUGGAGAAAUCAGGUGAUUUGUCCAGAGGCACACAGCCGGAGGUGGAGGAGCUGGGACUUGAACCAAGCAAAGCCGGGGUUGUCUGCAUCAAGACAGGCAGACAGAGAAGGCGGGACGGGGCUCGUCGAGGGACAAGGGUGCCGUCCACAUUUCCCCCAGGCCUGGGGUGGAGUGGAUGAUGUUUUCUUCCAUCAGGAUUGCCCAGCUCUCUUUUUAAGCUGAUAUGGGGACAUUAUCCUGGGCUCUCUCAGUCAAUCUGAUGCAAUCACAAGUGAUGUCGUCAUCCAAAGCUGGAGGCGGGAGAGUGACACCAGGGGAGGAGAUGUGCUGGCAGACUCAGAGUCACAGCGACAAGAUUGUAGACUCUGGGGACGGAAAAGGCCACAAUCCAAGGAAUGUGGGCAGUUUCUAGAAGCUGAAAAAAGAGACGACCUCUCAGGUCCUAUUGGCUGGAAUCGAAUCACAGGAUGCCUCCAGCUGCAAGGAAUGCCAGGAAAGUGACCAGCUGGCAUUUCCAGCCUCUCAGGUAGAAGCAGGUCAACUGAAGAGCAAAGUCGCACCAGCCACAGUCUCCCCUCACUCCUGAAUGACCACGGCAAGGUAAGAGGCAGGUGCGUGCUGGACAAAUGACAGCCUCCAGGAGUAACACAUUCAUUCAAGGAAAACAUUCCGCAUACAACAUGGCCACUUAGACCCGCCUGGAGGCUGUGUUUUGGGACCUACACACAAGCUCACUCUGCUAUCAGGCGAGAUGCUGUUUUUGAACUUAAC